rnacentral:rRNA from 1 species
AACGGAAAGGCCCUUUCGGGGGUACUCGAGUGGCGAACGGGUGAGUAACACGUGGGUGAUCUGCCCUGCACUUUGGGAUAAGCCUGGGAAACUGGGUCUAAUACCGAAUACACCCUGCUGGUCGCAUGGCCUGGUGGGGGAAAGCUUUUGCGGUGUGGGAUGGGCCCGCGGCCUAUCAGCUUGUUGGUGGGGUGAUGGCCUACCAAGGCGACGACGGGUAGCCGGCCUGAGAGGGUGUCCGGCCACACUGGGACUGAGAUACGGCCCAGACUCCUACGGGAGGCAGCAGUGGGGAAUAUUGCACAAUGGGCGCAAGCCUGAUGCAGCGACGCCGCGUGGGGGAUGACGGCCUUCGGGUUGUAAACCUCUUUCACCAUCGGCGAAGCCGGGGGCUUUUGUUUUCGGUGACGGUAGGUGGAGAAGAAGCACCGGCCAACUACGUGCCAGCAGCCGCGGUAAUACGUAGGGUGCGAGCGUUGUCCGGAAUUACUGGGCGUAAAGAGCUCGUAGGUGGUUUGUCGCGUUGUCCGUGAAAUUCCCUGGCUUAACUGGGGGCGUGCGG